CCUACGGGAGGCAGCAGUGGGGAAUCUUCCGCAAUGGACGAAAGUCUGACGGAGCGACGCCGCGUGCGGGAUGAAGGCCCUUGGGUUGUAAACCGCUUUCGGAGGGGAUGAAAUCCUCGAGGGUUCUCCCUCGAGGUUGACAGAGCCUCAAAAGAAGCACGGGCUAAGUACGUGCCAGCAGCCGCGGUAACACGUACUGUGCGAACGUUAUUCGGAAUCACUGGGCUUAAAGGGUGCGUAGGCGGCGAUUCAAGUCAGAUGUGAAAUGCCUGAGCUCAACUGAGGCAUUGCGUUUGAAACUGAAUUGCUAGAGUAUUUCAGGGGUGUGCGGAACUGCCAGUGGAGCGGUGAAAUGUGUUGAUAUUGGCAGGAACACCGGAGGCGAAAGCGGCACACUGGGGAAUAACUGACGCUGAGGCACGAAAGCCAGGGGAGCGAACGGGAUUAGAUACCCCUGUAGUC
rnacentral:rRNA from 1 species